AAAUUGAAGAGUUUGAUCAUGGCUCAGAUUGAACGCUGGCGGCAGGCCUAACACAUGCAAGUCGAACGGUAGCACAGAGAGCUUGCUCUCGGGUGACGAGUGGCGGACGGGUGAGUAAUGUCUGGGAAACUGCCUGAUGGAGGGGGAUAACUACUGGAAACGGUGGCUAAUACCGCAUAACGUCGCAAGACCAAAGAGGGGGACCUUCGGGCCUCUUGCCAUCAGAUGUGCCCAGAUGGGAUUAGCUAGUUGGUGAGGUAACGGCUCACCAAGGCGACGAUCCCUAGCUGGUCUGAGAGGAUGACCAGCCACACUGGAACUGAGACACGGUCCAGACUCCUACGGGAGGCAGCAGUGGGGAAUAUUGCACAAUGGGCGCAAGCCUGAUGCAGCCAUGCCGCGUGUAUGAAGAAGGCCUUCGGGUUGUAAAGUACUUUCAGCGGGGAGGAAGGUGUUGUGGUUAAUAACCGCAGCAAUUGACGUUACCCGCAGAAGAAGCACCGGCUAACUCCGUGCCAGCAGCCGCGGUAAUACGGAGGGUGCAAGCGUUAAUCGGAAUUACUGGGCGUAAAGCGCACGCAGGCGGUCUGUCAAGUCGGAUGUGAAAUCCCCGGGCUCAACCUGGGAACUGCAUUCGAAACUGGCAGGCUUGAGUCUUGUAGAGGGGGGU
rnacentral:rRNA from 1 species